AAAAGAGGAUUUGGUAUACUUUCCAGUAGGGCAGAGAACUAUUUGGUUAAAACCAAACCAUUUCGAUUUUUGGGUCUAAUCAGCUUGGUUUGGGUUUUAUUUUUUAAACAAUUUCAGUUCUCAGUUCAGUUAGUUUGACCAAAAUAACUAAAGUAACCAAUCCCUAUCAUUUUGAUUUAAUAUAUAUGUUGUUUAGAGAGGUGGCCUCGUUGUUGUAACUUAAACUUACCAAACCCUUAAACAGAAGUGUCUGUUUCAACCCUAGCCAUAUUCCCUUCCCACAGCCACUCUUCAUCUCUUGAUUACUCACUCCUCAAAACUCAGUCUCUCUUAUCUGGGCUUGCUGCAGGGUGUGCCUGCUACAAAUGCUGCCCCCUAUCUCCUUCCUGAGCCCCCUCUCAACUCCAUUCAGAUUUCCAGUCACUUGCACACCUUUGAGUCUGUGACCAACUUGUAGUCACAAUGCAGGUCUUCGUUUCCACGGUUCCCCCUCAGCUAUCUUUUGUGAGUUUCAAUUCACCACCUUAUGCCAUGAUCAUGUAGUUCCUUCUCAUUUCCCUGAUUCAGUAACAGAGUCUCUGUUCCUUGAUUCUGUAACUACAAGUGUCAGUUUUAAUUGCACUUGGUCAGUUUCUCGCCUGUUAUGAAAUUGUGGAUUUGCUGUUAGUUGCUUUGUGAAAGGAAAGAUGACAGUUAGCUUUUUGGGUUUAUAUAUUAGAUAAUAUAGCAGGUGGUUAGCUUACUUGUUAAAGACGUUGAGAAUCAGUUAGUUUUGUACAGCUCAGCUCAGCAGCUGCAGUUCUUCGACUCGCACAGUAUAAAAGCAAGAUACUUAAAAGAUCAAUACAACAUCUCUUUCAAAUCUCAAUUCAUUUUGUAAUAUGGUAUCAGAGAUGUCUCUCUUUUGAGACGGUUAUUUUCUUCUUUUUCCUUGAUUUUCUUUUGUUUUCUUGAAAGUUCUUUCAUGGCUGCCAAUCAGGCCAGUGAUCAUCUUCAGAAUCCUUCCAAUCCUUACUUCCUACAUCCAAAUGAAAAUGCUGCUUUUGUGUUAGUAUCUCCAGUUCUUACGGGUUCCAAUUAUCAUUUAUGGGCAAGGUUGAUGCAAAUGGCCUUAGCUUUUAGAAUAAGAUCAAGUUCACUGAUGGUUCCACCCUCACCCAUCAGAAUAGAUGCAAAUGCUCUACCUGGAACAGUUUAUUACAAUGCUGUUAUCUUGGAUCACCAUAUCUUUGUUCACCUUCAAUUUCACAAUAUGUUUUUUGGAUUAAUAAAUCUGUUAAUGUAUGGAAUAAUUUGAAGGAUGGGUUCUUGCAAGGAGACAUACUUGCAUCUUUGACCUUUGUAGAAAGAUAAUAUUUGUUGUAUUUCACAAUAGAGAUUACAACCUAUUUAUACAUGAGAGAUGGUAUCUAAACAGGAAGAAAAAUCAAGCCUAUGAUUAUACAAUCCCUAAGAUUAAGCAACUGACCCAUCUAUCAAUAUUUACUUCCUAUAUUAACAUAUUUACUUUCUAUAUCUUAUAACACUCCCCUUCAAGUUGGAUCAUAAAUGUUAAUCAUGCCCAACUUGUUAUAUAUAUAAUCAACUCGAGUCCCAUUUAGAGCUUUAGUGAAAAUAUCUCCUAAUUGUUCUCUAGUUCGGAUAUGUCCUGUUGAUAUUAUCUUUUGUUGGACCUUUUCACGAACAAAAUGACAAUCAAUCUCGAUGUGUUUAGUCCUCUCGUGAAAUACUAGAUUGGAGGCAAUGUGGAUAGCUGCUUGAUUAUCACACCACAACUUAGCAGGCACCGAAUUUGUGAACCCAACUUCUUCCAACAGUUGACGUACCCACAAGAUUUCACAAAUGGCUUGUGCCAUGGCUCGAUAUUCAGAUUCAGCACUAGAACGGGAGACCGCAUUUUGCUUCUUACUUUUCCAUGAGACCAAGUUACCUCCCACAAAAACACAAUACCCAGUAGUUGACCUCCUAUCAACUUUCGAGCCUACUCAAUCAACAUCAGAAAAACAUUCAAUAUUUGAGUGCCCAUGGUUACCAUAGAAUAGGCUUCGCCUUGGGGCCCCUUUAAGGUAACAAAGAAUCUGUCCCAGAGUAUCCCACUGGGCAACAGUAGGAGAGGACAUAAACUGACUUACCACACUCACUGAAUAUGCAAUAUCAGGACGAGUCACCAUCAAAUAAUUCAGCUUGCCAACUAAUCUUCUAUACCUUCCAGGAUCUGCAAAUGGCUCACUGUCUUCUGUGGUAAGUUGAAGGUUAGGGGUCAUUAGGGCACUACAAGGCUUAGCACUCAAUUUUUCUGUUUCUGCCAACAAAUCAAGAAUAUAUUUUCUUUGAGAUAAGAAGAUGCCUUUCUUACCCCGCAUAACUUCGAUUCCCAAGAAAUAUUUCAAGGAACCCAAAUCCUUUGUAUUAAACUGUGUUUUAAGAAAUUCUUUUAGGGAUGUGAUGCCAGCAAUGUCACUUCCUGUAAUAACGAUAUCAUCCAUAUAUACUACAAGCAGAAUUACUCCACUAUCAGAAUUUCUAUAAAACACUGAGUGAUCACACUUACUCAUCUUUAUUCCAAACUGUUGGACCACCUCACUAAACCUACCAAACCAUGCCCGGGGAUUUUGUUUCAAGCCAUAAAGAGAUUUUCGAAAUAUACAAACCUUACCUGACUCCCCCUGAGCAACAAAACCAGGUGGUUGCUCAAUAUAAACCUCCUCCUGAAGAUCACCAUGAAGAAAAGCAUUUUUAAUAUCCAGUUGAUGCAAAGGCCAAUCAUGAGUAGCCGCCAAGGAAAUAAACAAUUGAACAGAUGCGAGCUUGGCAACUGGGGAGAAUAUAUCAGAAUAAUCAACUCCAUAAGUUUGUGCAUAACGGGCCUUGAGGCGAGCAAUAGAUCCAUCAGGGUUUACUUUCACUGCAAACACCCAUUUACACCCAAUAGCCCGCUUUCCUGGGGUAAGGACAUCAACUCCCAAGUACCAUUAGUGUCAAGGGCCAUCAUUUCCUCUUCCAUUGCAGCACGCCAACCAGGAUGGGACAAAGCCUCAAUAACAGUUUUGGGAAUUGAAAUAGAAUCUAAAGCAGUGAGAAAUCUCACAACGAGAAGAGGAGGAUAAUUGAUUAUAAGAGACACAAGAUGAAAUAGGAUAAGUGCAAGUACGUUUGCCUUUGUGAAGAGCAAUGGGCAAAUCCAAAUCAGACAGUGAAGGAUCAGUGGGAGCAGGAUCGGUCGACGAAGAAGCGGGUAGCGGAACGGAGUCAGAGUUCUCUAAGUGUUUGGAAUACACAUGAAAGAUGGGAUGCACAUGAGCUAAAGGUGUAGGACAGAGAGCGAACAGUGUAUAACAAGAGGUCAUCUUCCUCCUCCUGGGUGUUAUAAACAGAUGAUGGCGGAAAAAACAUAGUGGACUCAAAGAAUGUUACAUCCGCAGACACAAGAUACCGAUUCAGAUCAGGAGAAAAACAACGAUACCCUUUCUGAUGUCGAGAGUAGCCAAGGAAGACACAUUUGAGUGAUUUGGGAUCCAAUUUAGUAACCUGUGGACGAACAUCACGAACAAAACAAAUACAACCGAAGAGACGUGACUCAAUAGGAAACAAAGAUUUAGUGGGAAAUAAAAUGUUAUAAGGGAUAUCACCAUGAAGGAUGGAGGAAGGCAUGCGAUUAAUAAAAAAACAAGCGGUGGAUACAGCAUCGGCCCAAAAACAUUUAGGUACCUUCAUUUGGAAUAAGAGGGCUCUGGCUACUUGAAUAAAAGGGCUCUGACUACUUCAAGAAGAUGUCGAUUUUUUCUUUCAGCAACUCCAUUUUGUGAAGGAGUGGCAACACAAGAGGACUGAUGAAAAAUCCCUUUUUGUAACAAAUAAGAUUGAAAUUCCCCAGAGAGAUACUCUUUAGCAUUAUCACUUUGCAAUAUACAGAUGGAAGUAUUGAAUUGGGUUUGAAUUUCAGCAUAAAAUGCACAAAAAAUAGAAAAUAAUUCUGAAUGACUCUUCAUUAAAAAUAACCAAGUAGUACGAGAGAAAUCAUCAACAAAAGUAACAAAAUACUUAAAGCCAGACUUAGACACAACAGGACAAGGACCCCAAACAUCUGAAUGGACUAACUCAAAGGGGGAGGAAGCCCGUUUAUUGACUUGAGACAGUGUAGGUAAACGAUGAUGUUUGACAAAUUGACAAGACUCACAAUCUAGAAUAGACAAAGAAUGAAACUGUGGAUAUAACUUCUUCAAAGCUGAGAGAGAAGGAUGCCCCAAACGACAAUGAACAUCAAAAGGUGUUAAACGCGUGGAGCAUACCAGAGAUCGAUGAGAUUGAGGUAGUUGCUGAUCCAAGACGUAAAGACCCUCUGACUCACUUCCUCUACUAAUAAUCUGCUUCGUCAAAAGAUCCUGAAAAACACAGUGAUCAGGAAAGAAUGAGACAACAAUUCAAUGCACGAGUGAGUUUACUCAUGGAAAGCAAAUUAAAUGCGAACUUAGGGAGACAUAACACAGAGGACACAGAAAGAGAAGGGGUUAAGUUGACAUGACCAGAACCCAUGACAGAAGAUUUAGUGCCAUCAGCAAGAGUAACAUAAGAAGGCGAUGUAUGAGACUCAAGAUUCGACAAAAGGGUAGAAUUACCUGACAUAUGAUCGGUAGCACCAGAAUCAAUAAUCCAUUUGGAGGAUGAAGACACAAGACAUGAAAUAGAGUUACCUGACUCGGCAAUUGCAGUGAUAGGGGAGGAAUUAGAGGAUUUUAGAGAUGCCUGGUAUUGGAUGAAUUGUGCAUACUCAUCUGCAGAUAUCAAAAUUCCCUGAUCGGAAGAUCCAUUCAAAUUGUGUUCCGUGAUUUUAAUCAUCAUAGGAAUCACAUCAGUUACGGUGGUGGUUUUAACUUCAGCCAUAAGGACAACCAACCCAAAAUGAUAGCAACAUAAGAAACACUGAAUCAGAAAACAGUACCCGGCGUGAACAAUACCACAUGAACAAUACCGAUGAACAAUAUCCGUGAACAGUACCGAUGAACAGAACUCGAAUGACAAACAAACCUCAGAUCUGACAAGGGAACAAUGUGGCGACUCCGGCGAUGGUGAGAUCCAAAUGUUACCCUUUAUGGAUAACCCAAAUGAACAGAGCCCUAAGUCUCCAAAAAAUUUUAAACCUUGACGAGAGAAAAAUUAAAUCUCUAUGAGAAAGGCUCUGAUACCAUGUAGAAGGAUAAUAUUUGUUGUAUUUCAUAAUAGAGAUUACAACCUAUUUAUACAUGAGAGACGGUAUCUAAACAGGAAGAAAAAUCAAGCCUAUGAUUAUACAAUCCCUAAGAUUAAGCAACUGACCCAUCUAUCAAUAUUUACUUCCUAUAUUAACAUAUUUACUUUCUAUAUCUUAUAACAACCUUCAAGGAGAAAUUUAUAAUUUCAAACAAGGUGAGUUUUUUUGUAACUUAAUAUUUACUCAAUGGGAGAUUAUUUGGGUUGAAUUGAUUAGUUUUAGACCAUAUCGCUCAUAUGUUUGUGAGACGCCUUGUGGUUAUGGUGCUGUUAAAAUGUGCUCAGCAUUAUGUGAAGAGUGAUUAUGUGGUAAGAUUUUUUAAAGGGCCUUAAUGAACAAUUGGCUUAUGUCAAGUCUCAGAUUAUGCUAAUGGAAGUUUUACCUUCCACACGUAUGGUGUUCUCCUUAGUGAUACAGCAAAAAAGACGAAUGUUAGCAGGGGUCAUGUUGAAGUAAGGGCACUUCCUAGUAAAGCAACUAAAGCUGAGCCUGCUGCUGGUAGUUCUGGGAAUUAUGGCUCUUGCAAUAAUGGUUAUGACACUAGUUAUAUGAACGCUGGAUACAACAAUUACAGUUCUUCGGCAGAAUGGGACUAAUUCAGUUGCUGAAGAGGUGUCCAAUCAAAUUCUAUGCUUAUUGUAGCAAAUAAAGACAUACAGUAGAUACCUUUUGUAAUAAGCAUGGAUUUCCUCCAGGAUUUAAGUUCAGAAAUCUGAGCUACUCAGCAAAUAAUGUGUUUACUGAGACUCCAUCUGCUGAAACUGUUCAAGAGGGUAUUGAAGGUGUUAAUGUACUCCAGAUCAAUAUCAGAAGUUAUUGUCUUGGAUACAAAACUAACUGAUUCUCAACUUCUUUAACAAAUAAGUUAAGCACCUGCAGUGAACGACCUGCUAUAUUAUCUAAUAUUUUGUAAUUUUAAUUUUUUUUUUUAAAAAAUAUCUUUAUUACUAAAACAGCCCUUAUUUGCCGAGAAAUAUACGGGGAAUGAAAGUUUGAUUUGUG
rnacentral:lncRNA from 1 species